rnacentral:rRNA from 1 species
UACGUAGGGCGCAAGCGUUAUCCGGAAUUAUUGGGCGUAAAGAGCUCGUAGGCGGUCUGUCGCGUCGGAUGUGAAAAUCCAGGGCUCAACCCUGGACCUGCAUUCGAUACGGGCAGACUAGAGUGCUGUAGGGGGAGACUGGAAUUCCUGGUGUAGCGGUGAAAUGCGCAGAUAUCAGGAGGAACACCGGUGGCGAAGGCGGGUCUC